rnacentral:lncRNA from 13 species
GGUGUGAGAGAAUGAACCAUAAAUCUGAAGUCAGUUCACACUGAAAUCAUUUUUUGGUUAUUCUUUGGAGUGUUCAAUACCCACCUGGGCUCCAUUAUUAAAAGCCAUCAAGUUCCAGAUGAUUCUCAGUGAGGGAUACCAUCCUGUCAAUAUUAAAGAGUCACUCUUCUACAUAAGCCCUAGACUGCCCAUCAGAGGGACAUGACAGAGGUAUAAAAUGGGCUGUAACAUGAGAACAAAUAACUACAACAUUGUGCUACAAUCUACAGUAGGAAUUGGAGGAGAAAACAUUUUCUGCCAGAGGAAAGGAGUAGGGAAGGAAGGGGAGCUUCAUGAAGGAUACACUAUUGAGCUGGGAAGGAUUUUCACAGGCAAUGCCGAAGUCACUUCAAUUCUAAGCAUCCCCGCUUGGACCACAUAA